rnacentral:rRNA from 1 species
CACCUCUAGCAUUACAAGUAUUAGAGGCAUUGCCUGCCCAGUGACUAUAGUUUAACGGCCGCGGUAUCCUGACCGUGCAAAGGUAGCAUAAUCAUUUGUUCCUUAAUUAGGGACUAGUAUGAACGGCUAGACGAGGGUUUGACUGUCUCUUAUUUUUGAUCAGUGAAAUUGACCUUCCAGUGAAGAGGCUGGAAUCUUAAAAUAAGACGAGAAGACCCUAUGGAGCUUAAAUUAACAAGCUUAAUUAUUAUAUCAACAUCCUAAUGGACUAAAACAAAAAAUAUAAGCUUAAAAUUUUGGUUGGGGUGACCUCGGAGAACAAAAAAUCCUCCGAACGAUUAUAACAUAGACCAACAAGUCAAAGUAACUAACUUAUCCAAUUGACCCAAAACAAUUUGAUCAACGGACCAAGUUACCCUAGGGAUAACAGCGCAAUCCUAUUUAAGAGUCCAUAUCGACAAUAGGGUUUACGACCUCGAUGUUGGAUCAGGACAUCCCAAUGGUGCAGAAGCUAUUAAUGGUUCGUUUGUUCAACGAUUAAAGUCC